rnacentral:rRNA from 1 species
UGUGCCUACAAUCCGUCAAAGCCCUCGACGUUUGUUGUGGGGUGAUGGCGUGCCUUUUGAAGAAUGAGCCUGCGAGUCAGGGACAUGUCGCGAGGUUAACCCGGGUGGGGUAGCCGCAGCGAAAGCUGAGUCUGAAUAGGGCGUAUCCACACAACAGUGUGUGGUGUAGUGGUGUGUUCUGGACCCGAAGCGGAGUGAUCUACCCAUGGCCAGGGUGAAGCGCGGGUAAGACCGCGUGGAGG